AGCGGAGGAAAAGAAACCAACAGGGAUUGCCCCAGUAACGGCGAGUGAAGCGGCAACAGCUCAAAUUUGAAAUCUGGCGCCCCCCCGCGGGCGCCCGAGUUGUAAUUUGCAGAGGAUGCUUUUGGCGAGGCGCCUUCCGAGUGCCCUGGAACGGGACGCCACAGAGGGUGAGAGCCCCGUCUGGUCGGCCGCCGAGCCUCUGUAAAGCUCCUUCGACGAGUCGAGUAGUUUGGGAAUGCUGCUCUAAUCGGGAGGUAUAUGUCUUCUAAAGCUAAAUACCGGCCAGAGACCGAUAGCGCACAAGUAGAGUGAUCGAAAGAUGAAAAGCACCUUGAAAAGAGGGUUAAACAGUACGUGAAAUUGUUGAAAGGGAAGCGCUCAUGACCAGACUUGGGCCCUGCGGAUCAGCCGGCGGUCCUCCGCCGGCGCACUCCGCCGGGCGCAGGCCAGCAUCAGCUCGCGCCGGGGGACAAAGGCGGCGGGAACGUGGCUCCCCCAGGGGAGUGUUAUAGCCCGCCGCGCAAUGCCCCGGGGGCGGACUGAGGCCCGCGCGCUCCUGCGCAUGGAUGCUGGCGUAAUGGUCAUUAGCGACCCGUCUUGA
rnacentral:rRNA from 1 species